UUUCGUCUUCAUUCAGUCUCUGCCUUUAAACCAGAGCGUCUGUCGCCAUUUCCAGAAAUAAUUACCAUCACAUAAACACAACAAUCAAACUCCAAAUCUCGAGACAAGAAAAGUCAGGGGAGAGUCAAAGCGUUUGCUGUGGAGCAAAGAGACAAAUCUGACUGUUCGCAGAAACAAGAACGGGCAAGGAAUCGGGGAUUUGGUCUUGUCGGAAGUGAAGUGAAGUGAAGUGAGGGAUCAAGUUUCGGCAAUACGUAAAAUUCAGUCAACAUUCUCGUUCGUUUUCUCUCGGGAGAGAGGCAUUGUACGAGGAAAUCCAGUCUGAGAACAUAGUCGAUCUCUUUUGGGUCUCUGUUCUUUGAUCCGUCGGAGCUUCUCGCUGUAAUUUAGGCAUUUGAGGACUUGGGUUUUGAUCCUCAAGUUCAGGAUCUUGCUUUUGACGAGGCUUUCAAGCUAAAUUGUUUGGUAAGUCUUGAGCUUUUUCGAAAUGGUGGAGUUUGUUGAGCUAGAUAUGGAAAGUUGGAAAUUAGGGUUUGUAUUAUUGAGCGCUCUUGCUCUGUUAUGAGAUUGUAGUGGAAUUGGGAAUAGUAUAGUAUUAGAGUGUGCAUACCGAUGACUGAGAUACUCCAGUUAUUCUCGGUUUUGGUAAAUCAGAUCAAGAAGAGAUAGUUGUUCAAAUCCAUAUGUGAUCAAGAAGAGGAGCUUGUUGGGUGACAUUGAAUUGUGGUUGCUCGUGUAGUGCUUAUUUUAAGUGAUGCCUCCUUCCCCGGCAUUGAGAUGCUCCCCGGUCAGGGAGCUUCCCGGGAAGAACCAUAGACGAGGGCACAGCAUUGAAUAUGGGAUACUAUUCAAAGAAAAAGAUGAUGAUGAUGAUCUUGCAUUGUUCAGUGAAGUGCAAAACAAAGAGAGAGAGAACUUCUUACUUGAGUCAUCUGAUGAUUUGGAAGAUGCAUUUUCUUCAAAACUGAAGCACUUCUCUGAAUCCACCAUUCUUGUUCAAGGAGAGAGCAGUGGACUGCUGAAUGCAGAUGGAGACAAAAAUGAUUAUGAUUGGUUGCUUACGCCUCCGGACACGCCACUUUUCCCUUCAUUGGAUGAUGAACCACCAUCAGCUAGUUCUCCGAGCAGGGGGAGACCUCGGGGUCAGAUUUCGUUAUCUAGAUCUUCUACGAUGGAGAGGAGCCACCAGAGUAGUAAGGGUAGUGCAAGCCCAAAUCGCUUAAGCAUGUCACCUCAAUCUGGCAGUAUGCAUCAGAUGAAAGGAAGGACAUCUUCAACACAUCAGUCUAGUCCCACAUCUGCUCAACCAGCAGCUAUCCCGGUUAGGAGGACAUCUCCUUCUCCAAGUAAAUCCUCAAGGCCUGCUUCAAGGUCUUCCACGCCAAAUUCACGAAGGUUGAGCACAUGGUCAAAUACCAUGGCAUCAACAGCACUUAGGGGCACUUCUCCUUCGAGAUCUAGCCAUGGGAGCUCCUCUUCACCAAAAAUAAAAGCUUGGCAGUCAAAUAUUCCCGAGUUCUCACUGGAUGCACCGCCAAAUCUCAGGACAUCUUUGGCUGAUCGACCCGCUUCCUACGUGAGAGGUUCCUCACCGGCAUCCAGAAUUGGCAGGGACUCAUCCUCGAGACACAACAGACAAUCGGUUUCUCCUAUUGCUUCUAGAAGUGUCAGUUCAUCGCACAGUCACGAGCGGGACCGGUUUAGUUCUCAUAGCAAAGGUUCUGUGGCAUCAUCUGGAGAUGAUGAUCUUGAUUCUCUACAAUCUAUUCCCCUAAGUGGCUCAGAUCGUCCAGUCUCAAAGAGAACUAGCCUUUCUCCAAGUAAUAGAACUCCGAGAUCUUCAAAACUACUUUCACCUAGUUCUGCACCAAAAAAACCGUUUGAGUCUGCUCUUCGUCAAAUGGAUCAACGCAAAGGUCAUCGUAAUAUGUUCAGACCUCUUGUAUCUAGUGUUCCUUGCACGGGUCUCUAUGCUGGGAAGGACAGUUCGUCUUACCAUCAUAUUAUCCUAAGACCUUCCACUUCAACAGUAGGUGGCAGUGCAGAUUUUGGUCGAGUUACAGGGUUCAUUCCAGGUACUAAAGGAAGUGAGCUGCUCUGUGAUUGUCAUACUGAAAACGAGACAUUACAGCAUCCUAAUACACAUGAAGAAAUUUCUGCCUUAGAUAUAGAUUUAUUGAGCAAAGGAAAUAGAAGUAAAAACCAUGACAGUCCUUUACAUAACCUACUUGGCUGUCUGGAUCAAGGUAAUGCCACUGAAUGCAAUGCUGGUGUGUCAGAGGAGGUCAAUCAUCGUGUUGAUGUUGAUACCAAUUCAACUUCGGGUAAUUUGCCUGUAGCAGGGGAUGUGCCAGAAGGGGUUGCUCUUGAAAAUUUGGAGGCUUGUUCUAGAUGUGGUUUCCACUACUAUGCCACUGAACCAGUUGAGAGUGAGAUAAAUCUUUGCCCAGAUUGCCGAGAACAACAUGAUUUUGCGGAAACUGCUCUCCUCAGAACCACAGUGCUACUUGCUGAGAAUUCCCUAAACACUGUGAUGACUGCACAAGAAACGCUGCCGCAGCCUAUUGAAACACAGGAGAACAUUACGCAGGGACAAAAUUCCUGUGAGGAGGGACAGAAUUAUUUACAAGAGAACACUGUUUCUGAGGCUUUGACAGUAGGUGAUGGGGAGAGGUCCAAUCAUCAGCACGAAAUUCAUCAACCUUCCUCUGAUUGUAAUCUACUGGACAGAGACACAGAUGGCACCAAAACUCUGUUUUCUGACAAGCAUUGCGAUUUGAAGAUUGAUUCUUCAGAUGGUGGGCGCAGCAGUUUGCUUAUAAAGAGAUCAAGCAGUAUGAAGGCACCCACUACACGAGCUAAGAACUCAAAUGCCAUCAACAGAUCGUAUGAAGAUUUUUCUUUUGUAAGGGAGAGAAGCAACCGUCUUAGAAGCUCCACUGAGCAUGCCACUCUGUCUGCAUCGCCUUCUUCUGAUUUUGGUUCAUCUGUUCAGAAGGAAGCUCAUGUGCAACAACGAAGUGGCAACACACAUGAUGUAGGGUGUCAUAGAUAUGACAUAAACUCCAGGUCCCUGAGCAGUAUGUCAUCUUCAUCGGAAGUGUCUGGCCAUGUCGGCCAGGCUCCGAGUGUUAGGCUUGGGGCCAGUUCUGAACUGUUUGCUGUUGAUAUGAUAUCCACUGAUGAUCAGGCACAUCCAGAGUCUCAUCCCAAAAUCCAAGACUCGGGAAAUAAAGAAGCUGAUGUGAUGUACUCAGCUUUUGGGGAAAGCAGGAGAUCGAUUGGUAUUUCCUCCUUGGAGUUAUCAAGAGAUGUAGUCGGCACUGUAGCAGAGAGUAAUUCAGUUGCAUCACUUAACAACGAUGGCAACAAAGAUUUAUAUGAAGCAGGAGAUGGUGAAGCCAAGAAUCUGAUGAGCACAAUGGAAUCAGGAGAAUCACCAGUACACGUAAGGAGCACAUCAGAAUUAGGAGCAUUAUCUGUGGCUACUGUUUCGUCUUUUGAAGAUGACUCUCUGCUACAGGGUUCUAUUUAUCAAGAAAAGGAGGGAAAUGAAAUUUCCGAGCAUGGUUUGUCUGCAACAUCCUCGGAAAUAGAACUUGAGAAAUGUGAACACGAACAUCCUGGUUCAGAAGGUCACGACAUAUUUCUGGGAUCAGAGUGCAAUAGAAACGAACUUGAAGACUGUUCAGAUCUAUGCUCUUUGGGAAAGGAUGCGAGAAAUUCUGCUAUGGAACACAAUGCCUCUGCUCCAGCAAAUGGGAGUUUAGAAAAUUCAACUGUUAUUGUGGAGUGUCAUGAAGGAAGAGAACCCAAGAGCCUGACACUAGAAGAAGCAACCGACACAAUACUUUUCUGCAGCUCCAUUGUUCAUGAUUUAGCUUACCGGGCUGCAACAUUAGCCAUCGAGAAACAGGGAGACGUGGCCAUGGAAGAUUCAGGUCCAACAGUAAUGAUACUUGGGAAAUCAAACACAUACAAGGUUCAUAAACACAGUGGAACUAAGGUGAAACACAGUUCCAAAUCUACAAAAGGCAGGCAAAAACAAAUGGAAACAGAUUUGAAAGGUUCAAUCCCAAUGGAGAAUGAUGAAAAUGGAGGUGAAACAGUGACACCUAAUGUUGGAGUUAUGAAUAAAGGAGACAGUUUGAACCCUCCUAAAUUGGAAUCCAAAUGCAAUUGCUCCAUAAUGUGAAACUCAUGAUUCAUUUGGAUCACAGGCGAUGUGUGUCACUGCAGUAGAACCACAAUGGCUCACUGAGAUGCGGCCUAUGUUCUUCUCCAUGAAGGAAUCUGAUCAUGUAUAAAAGGGGGAAAGCAGAAGCAAGAUAUAUCUCAGGUUCAAGGUUGAAGAAAGGCGGUACAUACUACAGGCCUAAGAACUCUACUUGUCGGACGUCGUAAAGUUGAAGUGCCUGCAAUUACCAUGCCAAAUAUCAGUUCGAGUUCGGGAAAGAAGUCAAAGUCGAGAAAGAGUAAAUCAAGGCUUCCAACCUGUGAAUCCUGCAGCAGCUCCGACCGCCAUGCCCAUGUACAUCCAAACCAUUUCAUCGUCAUCAUCAUCAUCAUCAUCUUUGCCUUCAU